rnacentral:tRNA from 1 species
GCCCGGGUAGCUCAGUUGGUAGAGCAUGCGACUGAAAAUCGCAGUGUCACUGGUUCGAUUCCAGUCCCGGGCA